rnacentral:lncRNA from 1 species
CAAUUUAGACAGUGGCAGGCUGUAUUUGAAGCCUAUGGAAUGGCUAUUCGUUAAGGAGAAGAUGGGAGCACACACUCACUGGGUUCCCAGGGGAAGCUGACUUUGAUGUUGCCCGGGAGCAGGGCUGAUUCUGUGAGGUGUAACUAGAGACAGGAUUUACCAGGAGAGUCUGCUUCCUGGAGAAUGUUGAAAUAUCUGAUGCCGUUUACUUUGAAACCCGUAGAUCAUUCUCUUUGCCUU